ensembl:lncRNA
CGCAAACUCCUACUAAGAUAAGUUGAUUGUCUAUACGUCUGCUAUAUGUUUCGUUUAAUAUGAUAAAUUACCUGCAUAGUUUAAAUAUUAGGGCGAAGAUUAAAUCCCCACCAGUGAUUCACCAUUGGUCAGCAUCAAUUAUAAAGGGAAACUCCUGAAAUUAACAUAACCUUGCUAGCGAACGGAUAAUGUUCAAUAUAAACUAACACAAUGCAGCAUUAAUAAUAUAAUAAUGUGUGAGUCAUUUAAUUGUGUGAGUUCAUCUAGACGUUUUCAUUUCCUCUGUCACUGUGGAUCACUUUUAAAGUGAACUGUUUUGGAUUUUACUUUAAGUUAAAGCUAUACUGUACGAUGUGAGAGAGCUAGCAUGAUUUGAAAUUAGCUUCUCUUCGGAGUUCCGUUUAACUCCUCCCCCACCCUUCACGACUGCCCCAACCCCUCGACACAGAGCCGUGCACGAGCGCUAAUGCUGCUUACGGCUUACUUCAACGGCAACCAUUGCGUCACUUUUCAGGCCAUUCAACUCCCUCAGCUGUCGCCAUCGCUGAAAAGCGAAUCCAAUAUUUAUUCUCGUUUUUCCUCGAGCAUUCUCUUACUUUUUUUUUUUGUUGCUGCCUUUUCAUUUUCUGUCUUUCUUUUUCUUGCCUUUUUAAAAGGAUGAACCGGGGCAAGUAACGGUGGCAGUGGCCGGCUCAGGCUCGUACACAGAGGGGAGAGAACGCGCAGGCUUGUGAUUGGUUCUUUAUAUUCGGGUACAAUGUCUCCGAUUGGUAAGCAUUUUAACAGGUUUAUAGCAGAUACAGAAUUCGUUUUUUUUCGCUUCUUUUUCAUUGCCCAUAAGUUAUUUAUUGCUGUCAGGAUGUAAAAACCAAUUUCAACAACAUAUUAAAAAGUGCAUAUCACUGAAAAUCGUACAAUAUGCCUUUAAGUUGUGUAAAGUUGUGUAGAAAACAAGCAAGGUGCUGUCUUUGAACAAUUUAUUAUGCUCUCAUGGUGCUUUCCCGGUCUUGUACCGGCAAAAGUCCGCAAUAGAGAUAAAGAAAAACCCGCUAAAACAUGGUUUCUCAACGGGGGGCGUUCGAACCAUAUUAACUAGAUGCCUUAUUACAGUGGCGUCUAGAACGUCACCAUAGGCGGUGUCAUGCCAAAUGUACUUUUUUUUAUUACUUUUUAAAUAGCCAUAACUUGCUAAAUUUUCAACCGAUUUACAAACGGUUUGGUUUAUUACAAACGUUAUUAACGUGGUUAUGAUAUUUAAACGUAAAUCAUUGUAGAAUUCCUUACAGUUAAAAUUAGGUUACCGUUUCGAAACGUAACUAUCAUUAAAACCG